rnacentral:rRNA from 1 species
UACAGAGGUCUCGAGCGUUAGGCGGAAUCACUGGGCUUAAAGCGCGUGUAGGCGGAUCGUUAAGUACCUUGUGAAAUCCCACGGCUUAACCGUGGAACGGCUGGGUAUACUGGCGGUCUUGAGCCACCUAGGGGCCUGCGGAACAAGCGGUGGAGCGGUGAAAUGCGUAGAUAUCGGGAGGAACACCAGUGGCGAAGGCGGUUGCCUGGAGCUUUGCUGACGCUGAGGCGCGAAAGCGUGGGGAGCGAUCCGG